rnacentral:lncRNA from 1 species
UUGGUGACCUUGGGCAAGUUAACCUCUGUCUACAAGUGGUUUCCUCAUCUAUAAAAUGAGAGGGUUGAACCCAAUAAUCUCCAGGGUCCUUCUAGGUCUGACAUCCUAGGAUUUAGAAACUGCAUUCAUUGUGAGUGGACAGCAGGGUUCUCAAAGGCCAACUACUGUGGCUAUGGGGGAUUCCCAAUAAUAUCAGGCCAGACAUGAGAAACGUCAUCCCCAUAAAUGGGCAAGACGAUGCUCAGUCCAUGCUCUGUUACUUGCAUGCAGUUUAUACAGUUUUCUGGAUUAAUUUAACUCAUAUUCUAACCCCCAGGUCUUCCUAUGCAGGACCACCUCUCUCCACAGCAGAGCUGCUGGAUACUCAGAGGAUGAAGGUGAUUAAUUCAUACGCAGACAUGCCAAGUGAUCACUAUCCAGUUCAAAGGAGACACCAUGGUUGGGGCACUUCACUUAUUCCAGUUGUGCUGACAAAGCUCAAAAUAUUUUAGGAACACCUCUUAGGGACAGUUCUUGGUGCAGGACAGAUCCAGAAGUGGCAUAUCUGUCCACUGAUGGAGGUUUGUGAUUAGAAAUGGCCCAAAUCUAAUAAAUAAGGUAGACAGAUGCUCAAGACAGUUAAUACAUUUUGGGGGACUACAUGAAACAUGCCAUCAAGUCACAAACUGGUCUUCUCUUUUGGACCCUACCCUGGCACUAAAGGUAUAUAAUUGUCAGUGGCUUAACUCAGUAGACGUUCCUGAGCAGUGGGAGAUUCUCCCUCACACAGUGAGUGAUUCAAGGACUCAAGUUCCUUCCAUCCUGUAGCUCCAUAGUCCUCUAGGGCUUUUAAGUCUUUUACAUUCAGCUAAUAGAAAAUAAAAGAGAAUAUAAAUAAGUCAGCCCACCUCCCACUUUCUCUUUAAUACUGACUCAUGUUCACAUUCAGUACUAGUUACCUGGUCCCUCCUAAAUAUAAAGGACUGGGAAAAUGUCAUUCCUGCUUAAUGGUGACUCUGUACUGAGGAGGGCAGUGUGGAGUUUUGGUGGACAGUUAACCAUCUUUAUGAAAGAGGGC